rnacentral:tmRNA from 1 species
GGGGCCGACCUGGUUUCGACGUAGGUUCGGAUUCGGAGCGGGGCAUGUCGAGCACCAGUUCGCUCGUAAAUCCACUGGAUCGCACUUAACUGCGAACGCUCCACAGUUCCAUACGGAACUCCAACAAGCCGCUUAAUACCGGCUUGCUUCGCAACAGCACGUCCAUGGGCUGGGCUUGAGGGGCAACCCAGGAGCUGCGAAGUCAUUCACAUGGAAUCGCUCUGAGCCGGGUCACUCGGUUCAAGGGCUAAAUCAAGUGACUCGGGAUGAGGGUAGCGUGCUGCUGCGCGACCACUGUCCUCAAAAACAAAUCAGUCAGCUACACAUGUAGAUCUGCCCGGAAAAGGCUUGCGGACGGGGGUUCGAUUCCCCCCGGCUCCACCA